UUGGAAAGUAAUCAUCCAUUUAUGGACAAAAUAGGCUGAGCACUUGCAGUGACAUGCUUGCUUCUUCUUCACUGACCUGCCAAGUGCUGGAACACUUUUCCAAAAGAGCACAUCUGGAAGGAAGAGUUCUUAACCAUUAAGGGGCAAAU
rnacentral:sRNA from 1 species